rnacentral:rRNA from 1 species
GUAGGUGGCAAGCGUUGUCCGGGAAUUAUUGGGGCGUAAAGCGCGCGCAGGCGGUUCUUUAAGUCUGAUGUGAAAGCCCACGGGCUCAACCGUGGAGGGUCAUUGGAGACUGGAGAACUUGAGUACAGAAGAGGAAAGCGGAAUUCCACGUGUAGCGGUGAAAUGCGUAGAGAUGUGGAGGAACACCAGUGGCGAAGGCGGCUUUCUGGUCUGUAACUGACGCUGAGGCGCGAAAGCGUGGGGAGCAAACAGGAUUAGAUACCCUGGUAGUCCACGCCGUAAACGAUGAGUGCUAAGUGUUAGGGGGUUUCCGCCCCUUAGUGCUGCAGCUAACGCAUUAAGCACUCCGCCUGGGGAGUACGGCCGCAAGGCUG